rnacentral:rRNA from 1 species
AGAGAGAGCUUGCUUUCUCGAGCGAGUGGCGAACGGGUGAGUAACGCGUGAGGAACCUGCCUCAAAGAGGGGGACAACAGUUGGAAACGACUGCUAAUACCGCAUAAGCGCACAGCUUCGCAUGAAGCAGUGUGAAAAACUCCGGUGGUGUGAGAUGGACCCGCGUCUGAUUAGCUGGUUGGUGAGGUAACGGCCCACCAAGGCAACGAUCAGUAGGGGUUCUGAGAGGAAGGUCCCCACAUUGGAACUGAGACACGGUCCAAACUCC